GACGAACGCUGGCGGCGUGCUUCAUACAUGCAAGUCGAGCGGAAAGGCCCUUCGGGGUACUCGAGCGGCGAACGGGUGAGUAACACGUGAGCAAUCUGCCUUCAGCUCUGGGAUAACACGUGGAAACAUGUGCUAAUACCGGAUAUGACCCUUUUCCGCAUGGUUUGGGGUGGAAAGUUUUUUCGGCUGGAGAUGAGCUCGCGGCCUAUCAGCUUGUUGGUGGGGUGAUGGCCUACCAAGGCGACGACGGGUAGCCGGCCUGAGAGGGCGACCGGCCACACUGGGACUGAGACACGGCCCAGACUCCUACGGGAGGCAGCAGUAGGGAAUAUUGCGCAAUGGGCGAAAGCCUGACGCAGCAACGCCGCGUGGAGGAUGGAGGCCUUCGGGUCGUAAACUCCUUUCAGCAGGGACGAAGCGUGAGUGACGGUACCUGCAGAAGAAGCACCGGCUAACUACGUGCCAGCCGCCGCCGUAACAC
rnacentral:rRNA from 1 species